UACGUAGGGUGCGAGCGUUGUCCGGAAUUAUUGGGCGUAAAGAGCUUGUAGGCGGUUUGUCGCGUCUGCCGUGAAAAGCCCAGGGCUUAACCCUGGGUCUGCGGUGGGUACGGGCAGACUAGAGUGUGGUAGGGGAGACUGGAAUUCCUGGUGUAGCGGUGAAAUGCGCAGAUAUCAGGAGGAACACCGAUGGCGAAGGCAGGUCUCUGGGCCACUACUGACGCUGAGGAGCGAAAGCGUGGGGGAGCAAACAGG
rnacentral:rRNA from 1 species